GAUAUUUACCUAUAUUUUCUACUAGUUUCCAAGGUUUUUUUUCCCUUGAGAUUCUCCUGACUCAACCUCCUGAGUAGCUGGAAUUACCACCAUUGCCUGGCUAUUUUUCCUUUUUUCUUUGACAGUUAAGUCCUUAAUCCAUUUGGGGUUAAAUUUUUGUAUGUGAUAUGUGGUAGGGACCAAUUUCAUCUUUUCCAUAUGGAUAUAUUUUUUUUCAGUUCCAGUAAGAAAUAAUCUCCUCCUCUGAAAAUAAUGAAACUGAUUAAUUCAAUGUGUUUGAUCAUUUUGAGAAAAGAUUUGCUGCAAUCUUAAAACUCCCCAGCAUUUGGGCCCAAAGGAUUAGGAACUGUAGAGCAUUAACUGAGCAUCAUGUGUAGACAGUGAGCUUGCCUGCAUACCCUAGCUGACAGGCGACUUCCAGGCAGAAAACUUUAGAUGCUGUGCUGAAGGCAUUGGGGAACAGAAAUUUCAAGUAAGGACAGUACAAGAACCUCAGAGAACAGAAAUACAGCCCAAGAGUUUAGAAAAUUUAAUGCUUGUUAUGGUUUAGAUAUGAAGUGCCCCCCAAAACCUCAUGCAAGAGUUUUCAGAGGUGAUACAAUUAGAUCAUGACAGGUGUAACCUAAUUGGUGGAUUAAUCCACUGAUAUGGAUUAGCUGGGUGGUAACUGUAGGCAGAUAGGGUGUGGCUGG
rnacentral:lncRNA from 1 species